AUACUUACGUGGCAGGGAAGACACCAUGAUCACGAAGGUGGUUUUCCCAGGGCGAGGCUUAUCCAUUGCCCUCCGGAUGUGCUGACGCCUGUGAUUUCCACAAUGUGGGAAACUCGACUGAGUAAUUUGUGGUAGUGGAGGACUGCGUAAAAAAAGAAUUAUGUGCCCCAA